rnacentral:sRNA from 1 species
UAAUGUAAAUCUACCUCUAGUGGCUCUGGUAUUUUUAAACUUAUUUAUAGCUGGCAAAGUACUUUUUUGUAUGUAUUUUUAUAGCACCAUUGCACUUCUCAUGUUUGUUGCAAGCAUUUCCUUUGUCUUUUAAUUUUAUGACAUACAAAUAAAAGUAUACAUUUCAAUAUGGCCAUAUUGAUUGAUCUUUUCCUUUGUAACUCUUACUACUUUAUAUUUAAAAAGUCAUUUCCCAGUCUAAGGCCACCUCUAUUUUCUUUUAGUUUUUUAAAAUGGUUUCAUUGUUUUAUAUUUGGCUAUGAUCCAGACAUUAGUAACUGUGGAUUCUUAAUUGGGCUUCAGAGAAUCUGAGAAUUCCUUAAAAUUCUCUACAUAAUUGUACAUGUACUUAAUACAUGCUUUUUUCCAUGUUAAGAGUCCAGAGUUUUUAUUAGAUCCUCAGAGGGGUCAGUCAGUCUCUCCUCCCACUUCCAAAAAAUGUCUGAGACCUACUACUAUAAUCCAUCUGGACUUUAUUUGGGUAAAAGGUGGUAUGGUGAGACUCAUAUUUUUCUUUUUCCCGCAAAUAGUUAAGUAUACCAACCAUUUAGUAAAUAAUUAUCUCCUGAUUUGUGAUACCUUUGAAAAAUAAAUGUUUUUCUUUAUUUUUAUCUCCACAGAGAAAGUUAGAGAAAUUCAAGAAAAACUUGAUGCUUUCAUUGAAGCUCUUCAUCAGGAGAAAUAAAUUAAAAUCGUACUCAUAAUCAGCUCUGCAUACAUCUGAAGAACAAAAACAUCAACGUCUUUUGUCCAGCCUCUUUUUCUUCUGCUGUUCCACCUUUCUAAACAUACAAUAAAGUCAUGGGAUAAAAAUAAUCAAUGUAUGUUACGGGCGCUUUAACCAUCAGCUGCCUCUCGAAUGGAAGAACAGUGGUAAUGGAUUAACAUCCUAUUUUGUUGUACUAAAGUGACAAAUCGGAAUAAUAUAAUUGGUAUGGCCAUUAGGUUCAGUCCUUGAAGAUAAGAAACUUGUUCUCUGUUUGUUGUCUUAUUUGUGGUGGCACUGGUUUAAUGGAUUAACUGAGGUUGCUCAAUGUUCAGUUUCUUUUCCAGAAAUACAAUGCUAGGUGUUUUGAAAUAAAACUUAUAUAGCAAUUUUUUAAAGUUAUCAAUUGUAUAUAAAAUCACAGUAGCCUGCUAAAUCAUUGUGUGUGUCUGUAGUAUUCUAUUCCCAGAAACUAUUUGACCAUGAUAAUUCAGUUUAUAUUCACCACAUGAAAGAAAAAUGGGUAACAGAAGAACCCCUAAAACAGGUUAAUUUGGAUUGUAACGUUCAGUGAAAGAAAUUUCAACCCUUCAUAGCCAGCGAAGAAAUUUGCCUUGGAAGCUAAGUCAGUACCAGCUUACCUAUUUGAUUCAGUUGCUGUUUUCUCACUCUCUGUAUCCAUUUGAAAUGGAUUUAUUUUAGAUGUUGUAUACUUACGUUAGGCUUUCUGUUAAUAGUGGUUUUUCUCCUGUUGACAGAGCCACUGGGUUAUGACACAGGAUGAGGAAGAUUAAGGAUAAUCAAUUGACUAAUUUCAUUUAGAAUAUUAUCAAACAUUUCAACUAGGCAUCAGAAAAAGGCUUUCUUUCAUAAGACUAUUUUAAAUAGAAAUUAUUUCAACAAUUAAAGUAAUGUUGACCAUCCCCCUCUCAGCUGAAUAAAGAAGAAUUUAGUUCAAUUUAUUGCAAUUUAAUUACAAUACUACCUUCACAACAUUUUCAUGUGUUUUAAAUAAAUAUUUUUUAAUUGGCUAAAGGACAUUCAAGCAAAGAAAUGCUUUCUUUACUUAAAAUGUCUAUCUCAUUUGCUGCCUUUUCACUAAGCCUUUACUUUGUUAAUAAAAGUGUCCAUUGUGUGAUGUUUUUGAUUUUACAGUUUGCUAAAUCUUAUUUUCUUGGAGUUGCUUUUUGGUAACAGCCCCAUUGCUACUCCCCAUUUUAUUGUUUUACAUCAAUGCAUGCUUCGUUGUGAUCCCUCAAGAUGUAACACUUGGUAUGCUCGGUUGAGGAUAUGAAAAAAUACUUCCGAAACCAGGAAUUCAGUGUAUGUUUGUUUUAUACUGUUUGAUAAGAAAAGUAGGUCCAGCCUUAAGCAGCACAGAUGCGCUGGUAGAUGCAUAGUCAGGAACUUUUUUUAUUUCUUUUAGGUCUAGGGACAGGAGUGAAUAGAAAGGGAGGAGAGCGCUAUUAUGUUCUAUACACAGAUUAGGAGAUGACCUUACUGGGUACACCCCUCUAACCAGUGCUUACAGGUUAAUGCAUGUUAAUGAAUAUUUUUGCAGUUGUAAAGCAUAACAAUUACAACUACACAUCUAUUUCUAAAGAAUAAAACAGGACCAUAUUUAUUUACUUCUGUCAACUAUAGAAAGAAAGACCUUCAGCUGUAUUUCCACAGAUUUCUCCCAAGGAAAAGGCUAAUAUUAGUCACUACUGUUAUCACAUCCCUUUGUAUAAGUUUUAAAAAGAGAUGGAGGGAGAUCUUCAUUUCUUUGAGGAGAUCAGUAUUGUAACGUAUGUGAAUAGAUGAUAACAAUUAAUAUUACUAAAAGUCCCACAUGAGAGUCCUGACGCCCUCUCCAUGCCCCACAGUAAUGUGGCUUCUUUCAUGGGUUUUUUUUUCUUCUUUUUAGCUGAUCUCAUCCUAAGCAUGCUUUAUUUUUCCUUGAAAGCUAGGUAUUUAUCAACUGCAGAUGUUAUUGAAAGAAAAUAAAAUUCAGUCUCAAGAGUAAACCCUGUGUCUUGUGUCUGUAGUUCAAAAGUCAGAAAUGAUUCUAAUUUAAACAAAAAGAUAUUAAAUAUACAGAAGUUAAAUUCGUACUAGCCACAGAAUCAUUUGUUUUUAUGUCAGAAUUUGCAAAGAGUGGAGUGGACAAAGCUCUGUAUGGAAGACUGAACAACUGUAAAUAGAUGAUAUCCAAACUUAAUUUGGCUAGGACUUCAAUUUUAAAAAUCAGUGUACCUAGGCAGUGCACAGCACGAAAUAAGUGGCCCUUGCAGCUUCCCCGUUUAACCCACUGUGCUAUAGUUGCGGGUGGAACAGUCAACCUUUCUAGUAGUUUAUGAUAUUGCCCUCUUUGUAGUCCCAUUUUCCACAGUUUUUUCCGCAGACUUCUUUCUGCAAAUUAUUCAGCCUCCAAAUGCAAAUGAAUGAUAUAAAAAUAAGUAGGGAACAUGGCAGAGAGUGGUGCUUCCCAGCCUCACAAUGUGGGAAUUUGACAUAGGAUGAGAGUCAGAGUAUAGGUUUAAAAGAUAAAAUCUUUAGUUAAUAAUUUUGUAUUUAUUUAUUCUAGAUGUAUGUAUCUGAGGAAAGAAAUCUGGUAUUUUUGCUUUCCAAUAAAGGGGAUCAAAGUAAUGGUUUUUCUCUCAGUUCUCUAAGCUGGUCUAUGUUAUAGCUCUAGCAGUAUGGAAAUGUGCUUUAAAAUACGCUUACCUUUUGAAUGAUCAUGGCUAUAUGUUGUUGAGAUAUUUGAAACUUACCUUGUUUUCACUUGUGCACUGUGAAUGAACUUUGUAUUAUUUUUUUAAAACCUUCACAUUACGUGUAGAUAUUAUUGCAGCUUAUAUUUUGCCUGUGCUUGAUCAAAGGUCAUUUGUGUAGAUGAGUAAUUAAAAAAUAUUUAAAUCAC